AAUCGAAAUCUUACCGGGCUAGGUUCAGGUGACAAAGGAAACGUCAAUUGUACAAGACCGAGAUCUGUGGAAACAUUCAACCAUUGGGCCACUCUGACUUCAGAAGGGCUUUCGAUCCAUAUUUUAGGAAUCUAGAGUUGUUGGAUGUUUUAAGGUUUUUUCCACGGUUUCAAGUCAUGUUUCACCGUGAGGAUUCUAAUGUUCACGUCCUGUCCGGGCUUGUAAACUGGCUUAUCUGUCUCCACAAAUGUGACGUGCGAAUCGUGUUCGAUGUAAACAUCCUUCUCAGAAUUGAUGGUGUAAUCCGGAUGCUUAUCAAAUCUGACUUUUAAUCGUAGCCUCGCCACCGAGUAUUUGGUAUGAGGUACCAGAAGCUCCAGGCAUGCCUCCACACCUAGAGAAUAUGCGGUGAAACAAAUAGCAAUGAGUGCUCAAAGCAGCCGACCUGCACUACUCGCGGAGGGGAAUACCAGCCAGACAUAAAAUUAUCGAAUAUCAACCCUAUCAAACGGAGAGUCAACAGAGGAAUUGCAUGCCCCAUUAAAAAUUGACUUGCCAGUUUCGAGAGUGAAGCUGCUGGCGGCCAAGAUUUCUUCCUCGGCGACAUCAUCUGUGGUGAGGAGUUCCAGAAGAGCAUGAGCAGGGGUGGAUAAAUGAUGAAUCGAGAGACAUCCGCUCUCCGUUUCGCCGGCAAUGAGCCUCUUCGGCGCAGUAAACACGUAGCCCCUGUUAAACGAGUUUCUAUUUUAAUGACGUGGGCAGUUAAUGACUGCAACUUUAAAUCCGUUGGAUGCAUGAAAUGGAUGAAAAUGAUACCGUCAAAAUUAAUCGAGACCUAUUUGGUUAUCGCUGCGGUGUGAAAUUUGAAAAAAGAUCCAAGUACAGAAGCGUGAUACUCCGAUGCGCGCAUUUGUUGAACGACUUAAACGUUGGUGUAUUAAAAUUAAGUCUGAAGACUUCUAAUGUUAGCGCAAUGAACUAAAAUGAUGCUGACAAUUUAAGACAAUUACUUUACUAAUAACAAGUAAUGGGCUGGGUAUAAUUGCAUCCGCCUUCGAACAAAUUGUUUUACUUGUACGUCGUAGUUGUACCUCUACGCAUAUGCGGAGUGUUAUACUCUCGAUAAAUUAAUAGCUGUUUACCGAGAUGGUAUUUUAUAAAUUACCGCUUCAGGAAUUUGAAUUACGUUCAUAAAAUAAUCGACGCCGUUUAAUUAAUCGCAUAUGUAUAAUCAAUGCGCGCAGGUUCUGCACCCGUCGUGAAUUAGCAAAAUUUAAAUAUCUUAUCUUACAAUUACCAUCAGUUCGAAUAGCCAUGAAUAUUACUACAGUAUAAUAAAACAGUAAAAUAUUCCAACCUGUGCGGGUUCGCAGCCGUACCCAAAGGUGAUUGCAGAAAAUAUUGCAAUAUCGCUAAAAUAAAUACCAUUCGCGCACCACUCGACAUAUUGUAACGAUGUGCACGCGUUAAAAGCCAAAAACUAAAAUAAUAAUAAACGAAUGCGUUUUAAAAAUUCGCCAAUCGGUCUACCGCAUCUCUACACAGUGAUUGUAUACGAGUGCAGAAUUGCCGCGUUUGAAUCACUUAAAACGCUAUCAUAUUUUCGUCAGUUUUUCUGCCUCUUUUUCCAAUAAACGGUACAGGACACUCUCUCGUAUCUUCUACGAGACAAAAAACGCUACGAUCAGUUUACUCUAUUCUCGAGACAAACACAAAUAUAAAAUAUCGCUCGCGGAUGAUCUCCUUAUGAAAACUGUCGCCGAAGUACUGAACUCGGAGUGAAGCUCUAGUCUUAUCAAUGUGCCACUGCUAUGCCGGUCUUCACUAUAUGUGUGAUGCGUGAAUGAUGCAUGUAUAAUCUUUAAUGUGUAUUGAAUCCCUCCGGUCUCUGAUGUUCCCCAAUGGCUAUAGAUUCGCUUAAAUUUAAUACACCGGCUCCUGUUGCUGCUGCGGUUGCUAAUGUUUCUGACUUCAACCAUACGAACAACAGAUUAUACUCAUAUUAUAUGAUAAUUAUUGUAUUACCCCGGAUGCAAGAAUUUAUCAGCAAACAAAAGAGGCAAAGUUUUUUUUCUUUUCUUUUUGAAUCGAUGAACAAAAGUUUGGUAAAAUUUUUCAUCAAAUCUAGAAAGUAUAAACGUUAUCAUAAUUCUUAGUGAACAAAGUUAUUUCAAUAAUGAUAAUAAGGAUAAUAACACGCAGAUUGACGUGUUGCGAGAAUUCAAAUGUGAUAUAAUUUAUAUCUAGAAUCACCGAGCCAUUAUUUACGACUUAAACUGUGUAUGUAUGAAAUUGCGACUGAAUGUAUAAUAUAAUAAGGAACAUUGAUUGAUAGCGUGACUCACGGGUCACCCUAUCGCUGAGAUAAUUAACGGAGUGAUGGCAUUUAAGUAAUUCCAAAGCAGUUGUGGUCUCAUAAACAAAUGCUCGAUCCUGCAUCUUUCUCUAUACUACAUAAUACACGUAUGGACGCAGCGUCAUUUAGCGAUCUUUGAUCUUAUGCAGCCAGACCUGAACUCAUUGGUUUGAAGACUCUUUUUGGCGUUAUUAGGCGGCCCGUUCUAUUGUGAGCGGCCUUCCGCAAUGAGCUCUUCGCGCUUCAGUGUAUUAUGAUUUUGUUAAUACCUGUAUGAGAAAACGAAUUAAAAUAUGAAUUACCCAUCAAUUAUGUAACUGUGAACGCAUUUUGUCGUAUUGAACGAUUUAACUCAAUAAUUCUGCGAUAUACCCAAUUUAUUUCCGAGUUUUAACUUUCUUCUCUUUUGUUACAAGAGCGAAAUUGACUGGCUCGGGAUGAAUCCGCCCUGCAUCUAGAACACAAGACUUGACCGUGCAUCUACAUGAUGAUUUCCGAAUCAGAAUACAGGCAUCAUUUAUCAUAUAGUCAUAGAUCAUGUACUUUCUGAAAUAACUGAUAUGAUCAUACAAUAGAGAACCUCUAUAAUUUGCACUGUAGAACAUUUAUUGUCAGAGGACAUUUUUCGGUGUCAAUAAAUACUUGAUAUAAGUUA